rnacentral:rRNA from 1 species
UACUAGAGUAGCACUCGCAUAUCAAUAAGCGGAGGAAAAGAAACUAACAAGGAUUCCCCUAGUAACGGCGAGUGAAGCGGGAAGAGCUCAAAUUUGAAAUCUUAAAGGGUUUCCCUUUACGAAUUGUAGUUUAAAGAAGUGUUUUCUGUUGAGGUUUUGGUAAAAGUUCUUUGGAAUAGGACAUCAUAGGAGGGUGAGAAUCCCGUAUUUGACCCUUACUUUCAACUUUGUGAUACACUUUCAAAGAGUCGGAUUGUUUGGGAAUGCAGUCCAAAAUGGGUGGUAAAUUUCAUCUAAAGCUAAAUAUUGGCGAGAGACCGAUAGCGAACAAGUACCGUGAGGGAAAGAUGAAAAGAACUUUGAAAAGAGAGUUAAACAGUACGUGAAAUUGUCAAAAGGGAAGCGUUUGACACCAGUGUUGUUUUUCUGAAAAUCAAUUAAAGAACUGUUUAUGCUAAGCUUGUUUAGACUUUAUCAGCUAACUGUUUAGUUUUGAGCUUUUCUUUAAUGCACUUUUUCAGUUAACAAGUCAACAUCAAUUUCUUUUGCUGUAAAAAAGCUUGAGGAAGGUGGCUUGAGAUUCGUCUUAAGUGUUUAUAGCCUCUUGCCUAUGCAGUCGGAGAGAUUGAGGUCUGCAGCGUAGAUCCUUCGGGGCUAAAUGCAUUUGUGCUAAGUUAUAACAUUUUAUAGACAACUUGUUGACUAUGAUUUGUCUUGUAGCUUACUCGCUUAUGUUAUUUUACCUACGCUUAGGAUGUUGAUAUCGCGCUCUCACUG